AAGUCGUAACAAGGUUUCCGUAGGUGAACCUGCGGAAGGAUCAUUAACACGUUAUCCACGUAUCAACCAAUCGCGAACUUGUUUUCUCGUCUCCCUUUGCAAUUAGAAUGAAUCGGAACCAGUUUGAGGGAAUUGAUGUGGAUUGCAGUCAAAUGCAAUCGGCCUUCCUGGUAUACAGACGAACCCUGAAAAGGGAUUGUUGACGAUUGAAUCUUAUUGCUUAAAGGCCAAAAUUUCUUCUACUAUUUUGAUCUCCAUCAUGAUCAAUAAAAUAGUGGAGGAGUACAAACCUUAUAAACUAUUUUCACCACCUUUUUGCUAGUUGACUUUUUAUCUGUGAUCGUUUUGCUUUUUAGCAAUGCAGUUGCACGUUUAAUUUUACUUGAACGUUAAAAAUAUACAACUCUUAGCAAUGGAUAUCUUGGUUCUC
rnacentral:misc_RNA from 1 species